rnacentral:rRNA from 1 species
CCUACGGGAGUCAGCAGUGAGGAAUAUUGGUCAAUGGGAGUAAUCCUGAACCAGCCAUGCCGCGUGCAGGACGAAGGUUCUACGAAUUGUAAACUGCUUUUGUAAGGGGGUAAAGUGCCUGACGUGUAGCGUUUUGUAAGUACGUUAUGAAUAAGGAUCGGCUAACUCCGUGCCAGCAGCCGCGGUAAUACGGAGGAUCCGAGCGUUAUCCGGAUUCAUUGGGUUUAAAGGGUGCGUAGGCGGUCUUAUAAGUCAGCGGUGAAAGACUGUGGCUCAACCACAGAAUUGCCGUUGAUACUGGGAGGCUUGAGUACGGUUGAGGCAGGCGGAAUGUGUGGUGUAGCGGUGAAAUGCUUAGAUAUCACGCAGAACACCGAUUGCGAAGGCAGCCUGCUAGGCCAGGACUGACGCUGAUGCACGAAAGCGUGGGGAUCGAACAGGAUUAGAUACCCUGGUAGUC